GAUGAACGCUAGCGAUAGGCCUAACACAUGCAAGUCGAGGGGCAGCAUAGAGUAGCAAUACUUUGAUGGCGACCGGCGCACGGGUGAGUAACACGUAUGCAACCUACCUACAUCAGGGGAAUAACCCGGAGAAAUUCGGACUAAUACCGCAUAAUACAGGGAUGCCGCAUGGCAAUAUUUGUUAAAGAUUUAUCGGAUGUAGAUGGGCAUGCGUUCCAUUAGCUUGUUGGUGAGGUAACGGCUCACCAAGGCAACGAUGGAUAGGGGAACUGGGGGGUUUGUCCCCCACACUGGAACUGAGACACGGACCAGACUCCUACGGGAGGCAGCAAUGAGGAAUAUUGGUCAAUGGACGAGAUUCUGAACCAGCCAAAUCGCGUGAAGGAAGACUGCCCUACGGGUUGUAAACUUCUUUUGUACAGGAAUAAAAGACAUUACGUGUAAUGUAUUGCAUGUACUGUACGAAUAAGCAUCGGCUAACUCCGUGCCAGCAGCCGCCGUAA
rnacentral:rRNA from 1 species